UACGUAGGGGGCAAGCGUUGUCCGGAAUCAUUGGGCGUAAAGCGCGUGUAGGCGGCCCGAUAAGUCCGCUGUGAAAGUCCAGGGCUCAACCCUGGGAUGCCGGUGGAUACUGUCGGGCUCGAGUCCGGAAGAGGCGAGUGGAAUUCCUGGUGGUAGCGGUGAAAUGCGCAGAUAUCAGGAGGAACACCAAUGGCGAAGGCAGCUCGCUGGGACGUGACUGACGCUGAGGAGCGAAAGCGUGGGGAGCGAACAGG
rnacentral:rRNA from 1 species